GUGACCUCAGAUCAGGUAGGACUACCCGCUGAACUUCAGCAUAUCAAUAAGCGGAGGAUAACUGCGAGUGUAGCUGGGAAAGCGCAACUUUAAAAUCUGUCAGUCUUCGGCUGUCCGAGUUGCAUCUAGAGAAGUGUAGUCUGCGCUGUACGUGUAUACUCCUCUGGAAUGGAGCGUCGAGAAGACGAUAACCCUCAUUCACUGGACUGCGAGGGGUCUGAUGAGGAGCCUCACAAAGAGUGUAAUAGUUUUGGGA
rnacentral:rRNA from 1 species